rnacentral:rRNA from 1 species
CCUACGGGAGGCAGCAGUGGGGGAUAUUGGACAAUGGGGGAAACCCUGAUGCAGCGACGCCGCGUGGGGGAAGAAGGGCCUCGGCGCGUAAAGCCCUGUCAGCAGGGAAGAAAAUGACGGUACCUGAAGAAGAAGCCCCGGCUAACUACGUGCCAGCAGCCGCGGUAAUACGUAGGGGGUAAGCGUUAUCCGGAUUUACUGGGUGUAGAGGGGGCGCAGACGGCGAUGCAAGCCAGAAGUGAAAGCCCGGGGCCCAACCCUGGGACUGCUCUUGGAACUGCGUGGCUAGAGUGCAGGAGGGGUAGGCGGAAUUCCGGGGGUAGCGGUGAAAUGCGUAGAUAUCAGGAGGAACACCGGUGGCGAAGGCGGCCUGCUGGACUGCAACUGACGCUGAGGCACGAAAGCGUGGGGAGCAAACAGGAUUAGAUACCCGGGUAGUC